rnacentral:rRNA from 1 species
GACGAACGCUGGCGGCGUGCUUAACACAUGCAAGUCGAACGAAGAGCGAUGGAAGCUUGCUUCUAUCAAUCUUAGUGGCGAACGGGUGAGUAACGCGUAAUCAACCUGCCCUUCAGAGGGGGACAACAGUUGGAAACGACUGCUAAUACCGCAUACGAUCUAAUCUCGGCAUCGAGGAUAGAUGAAAGGUGGCCUCUACAUGUAAGCUAUCACUGAAGGAGGGGAUUGCGUCUGAUUAGCUAGUUGGAGGGGUAACGGCCCACCAAGGCGAUGAUCAGUAGCCGGUCUGAGAGGAUGAACGGCCACAUUGGGACUGAGACACGGCCCAGACUCCUACGGGAGCAGCAGUGGGGAAUCUUCCGCAAUGGACGAAAGUCUGACGGAGCAACGCCGCGUGAGCGAUGACGGCCUUCGGGUUGUAAAGCUCUGUUAAUCGGGACGAAAGGCCUUCUUGCGAAUAGUGAGAAGGAUUGACGGUACCGGAAGAGAAAGCCACGGCUAACUACGUG